rnacentral:rRNA from 1 species
AUUGAACGCUGGCGGCAGGCCUAACACAUGCAAGUCGAACGAGUGGCGGACGGGUGAGUAAUGUCUGGGAAACUGCCCGAUGGAGGGGGAUAACUACUGGAAACGGUAGCUAAUACCGCAUACCAUCGGAUGUGCCCAGAUGGGAUUAGCUGGUAGGGUAGGUAACGGCUCACCUAGGCGACGAUCCCUAGCUGGUCUGAGAGGAUGACGAGCCACACUGGAACUGAGAGACUGUCCAGACUCCUACGGGAGGCCGCAGUGGGGAAUAUUGCACAAUCGGCGCAAGCCUGAUUCAGCACUGCCGCGUGUAUGCAGAAGGCCUUCGGGUUGUGAAGUACUGUCAGCGGGGAGGCGUUACCCGCAGAAGAAGCACCGGCUAACUCCGUGCCAGCAGCCGCGGUAAUAC